UACAGAGGUCUCAAGCGUUGUUCGGAUUCAUUGGGCGUAAAGGGUGCGUAGGCGGCGCGGUAAGUCGGAUGUGAAAUCUCGGAGCUUAACUUCGAAACUGCAUUCGAUACUGCCGUGCUUGAGGACUGGAGAGGAGACUGGAAUUCACGGUGUAGCAGUGAAAUGCGUAGAUAUUGGGAGGAACACCAGUGGCGAAGGCGGCUCACUGGACCGGUACUGACGCUGAUGCGCGAAAGCUAGGGGAGCAAACAGG
rnacentral:rRNA from 1 species